UGCGUAGGCGGCCCGGAAAGUUGGGUGUGAAAUACCUCGGCUCAACCGAGGAAUUGCGCUCAAAACUACCGGGCUUGAGGAAGAUAGAGGUGAGCGGAACUUAGGGUGGAGCGGUGAAAUGCGUUGAUAUCCUAAGGAACACCGGUAGCGAAAGCGGCUCACUGGGUCUUUCUGACGCUGAGGCACGAAAGCUAGGGGAGCGAAGA
rnacentral:rRNA from 1 species